GUAGAUGUUUAUUGUUUAUCUUAAAAUAUAUAUUUAUAAAUGUAUGUGUUGGCGUAAUAUUGGUUAAGAAGUCUCUAUUAAGCGUAAAUUGCGAACCAAUAAAUAAUAAAUACACAAGAAAUUGAAUAAAAAUCUCCUAACUUAUGUUUUCGCCCAGUGGCACCACUGCCAAAUGUUAUAAAAAUUGCGGACUUUCGCAGCUCUCUCUCGAAUGAAAGAGUUUCGUAUCAUGUUAUCUUUGCUUUACUAAAUAAACGUCAUAGAAAGCAGUCGCUUGUGUCUACUCAUUCUUAUCUUAUAUACCGUACAAACGGUGAGUUCUGUAUUAUUUCAAAAAUCAAAGGAAUUACUCAACGUGACCGGGAGCAUCCACUCCACUUAUCUAAAGAAGAUCUGCCAACAAGAUCUUAUUCUUGCUAUAAUUCUGCAUUCGAAGGUUGUGUGCUAGUGGCAAAAAAGUUAUAUGAGAGAUAAAAACGAGCAUUAUACCAAUAGACCGAAGCGUAUGAGGAAUUGGCAAAGACUUUUAAAUAAAUAUAAAGAAAUUGAUGAGGAUGCCAUAAUUGAUAAAGCACAUAAAUGGUAGGCGAAACUCCUAUGGAAGCGAAUUAAGUAAAAAAAAGUCAGAAAAGUCUGGUACUGCCAACACUUUGGUAUUUUUACCAUUUAUACUUCCUAUUUCUCAUUUUAAGCGCACACCGAAAUUACAAGCGCUACAAUUUUCUCGAUGACGCCUUGUCCGUUCACUUCAACGAUUUCAAAGGAAUGAUGUCUGAACAACAUGUCGCACAAGUGUAAAACGAACUGACUUGCGACACAGUAUGCAUUUUUUCAGCUUUUACCAACACAUACUCAAUAGUAACUUUUUGUAGUUAAAUGGCAGUUAGAGUGGCAACAUUCAUUAACCCGAAUUUUUAUAUGUAUAAGAGAGAGAUGCACGUACUUCAAUGAACCGUUCAAAACCGCCGCCAUGGCCGCCAUUCAUAUGAAAAGAAAAUUUGAAAACGGUACUAUGUUUGACUGGGUACUGCAUCGUAUUUUAAAAGAUUAUAACUGCAGAAAAUGGUGUUGGAAGGCAAUGCGAGCUGCAACGCACAUCUGGUCCGUACACAAACAUGCAAAACUAAAAAGAGAAGCAGAAUAAGGAUUAUGCCCUUUUAGGCAGAUGGGUAACAGCAACAACAAAUAAUACGUAUCCAAAUUCACAAUAAAAGUCAAAAUCGCACAACGCAACCGGCAAAUAACAAUUACAUCGGACUUUUGGAGAAGCAGUUUCACUACUUAUUGUCGACGUGCUAAACAGUGUCUCCUAUGAUUCCCUUGAAUCACAAUGGAUAGUUAACAAGGUAACAGAGCUCGAAAAAACAAUAUUGAGGCGCAGAAGUUGUUUAUCCUGAUUUUGAAUGGACUAUGCAGGAAUUGUUAAGCUGAACUUACAAUUUAUCAUUUUCAAUAUUAUGAUUCUUAAUUUAUAAAAUUUGAACGUUCUCAAUAGGGCUAAAUUUAUUAAUAUAAAUGUAAAAUAUUUUUAAAUUAACAUCUAUAUACAAUGAAUUUACGAAUAUUUGUAACAAUCGUAAUAGUAGUGUAGUUUUAUUUGUUUUGUAUAACACAAAAGAACAAUACUUAAAACUUUUGAGAAUUUGUAAAUUAUAAAAAUUUAAUAUUUAAUACUAACUUUAUAUGUAAAAUAUGAAAAUUCUAUCAAUUUAUAAAUGAUAGCCGCAAAAACGUUUGUAAAAUUGAAAGUUUACUUUGUACUGAAAUGUUAAUAUUUAAAUUAAUCUAUAAUAUAAAAAUGAAUCGCAGAAUGUGUUGCUAAGCGCAUAACUCAAGAACCGCUGAACCGAUUUCGCAAAUUCUUUGUUUAGAAUGUUUUUAGAGGUACCGGGAUGGUUUGUGUCGUUAGUCGCGAAAAAAGUCAAGAAGGGCCAAACCGAUCUGGCUAAUUUUAGUUUUGAAAUAUUUAUGGAAGGCCAGGGAAGGAUUAGAAAGUAAGUAUAUAUCGAAAAAUUGUGAGGAAGACAACAAGAAGAUUAUUUUAUUUGAAUUGACAUCAAAAUUAUAAAAAAAAAAAUAAUAAUAAUAUUUUGAAAGUUGUCAUUGUUGCUUUGUUAAAAAUUUUUUAUCAUUGUUCAAUUGUAUAAGGCUGUGUCGAUAGCCCAAAACAAUUUGUAACAAGUAGGGAAAGGCAACCGAACAUUUUAUACUCUCGCAAUUUAUUGAUGUAAUUUUAUUACACACAAUUUGAAAUAAAGUCCAAUAGAAUAACAAAAAUCAGCAUAUAUAGUACAUGAGGGUUGAGGUAAUUCCUGAACCGUUUUCACUAAUUUUCAACGCCCAGUUAUAAUGGGAACUUGGCACCUGUUAGUAGGCAGACAAACGGCAAAUCGGCCUUGAAAUUACUCCUAAAUUGCAAAUCAACGAAACACCAGUCUGCAAAAUCGCCAAAAAAAGAGCUAUAAAGAAGAUUUUCCAGAUAUUCAAGUCGCUGGAGGUGCUGUACAGGACUUUAAAAGAUUUACGCGACAACGAAAAUAUUUUUGGUGAAGCCAUGAUUCUGUUGGCAGGUGAUUUUCGCCAGACUAUUCCUGGAUCAAGUGUUGCUGACAAACUAAUCACAUGCCUAAAAUCAUUUAAUUUGUGGCGACACAUAAAGAAUCGCUAAUUAACAAAUAACAUACGAGUAUUUUUCCAACAAUAUCAUACUGCAAUUGUAGAAAUAGUUGAAAAUGGUAGCGACGCAGUUGACACCUCGAAGGAUUAAUAACAUUUUUAACGGGUUUCUGUCACUUCUUGGACUCGAAAGAGGAGCUUAUUCAUCGUGUUUUUCCUGACCUGAAACCAUAAUAUAAUAAACAUAAAUGGCUUAUUGAAUGACAUAUAUUGGUGGUAAAAAAACAAGGAUCACUUUGAUCUUAAUGCGAUAAUUUAGAAUUUCGUUAAAGGAGAGUUGAUCCAGCUACAAACCAGGAGGACGUAUUCAAUUAUCCCACAGACUAUUUAAAAUUGCUGGCAACGAUGACAUGAUACGAAACUCUCUCAUUUUUCCUCAAACCGAAUUCCCUGAUCUCUCAUUUUAAGUUGGUAGCAAUGCGAGUUGAAGGAAUUUUUGACAGAAAAGGCGGGAUGCCAGAAGUAAUACCGGUAAAAGUAUAUGACAAAAUCGGUGCGAAAUACAAUUUUAGGGAAAUACACUGAUAAUAUUAAAU